rnacentral:lncRNA from 1 species
UGGACUAUCUCUUUAAGCACAGGAGGCAGAACUGUUUCUGUUGGGAGUUUCUUCGUCAGCUGUUACUGUAGCCACCACUCCUACCAACCCAGAGGGGAAAGAUCCUACCAAGAGAGAAGGGCCCACCCUGCCACAAGCUGCUUCAGAUAGACAAUGAGUGAAACAAAGUCAUCUUAAUGAAAUGCAGACCUGAAAUACAUAAAGGAGCAAAGUGCCAGCACUUUCAUUUUGAAUUGAUCAUAAAGCUAAUUCAAAUACAUUUAUAGAAGGAGCAUGGCUGUACUUUGUUCAAAAGAUGACCUCAUCAAACAGUAAUGUGCACUCUGCUGCCCACUGCAACCUAGAUGAUGGAAAAGAACAAAAAUCUUAAUGGACUGGAACUAAGGAGGCUUUUGUAACACAGAAAUGUGUUCUUAAGAAUAUGUUAUGCUUAUUUCUCCUUAGUAAGCUGUGAAAAGAUCAGAUAUAUUGCCAAAAUUUUGUAGACUAUUGUUGCAGUUUUUUAAAUCUUGAAAUUUGGAUCUUGUUUAAAGGUACCUGGUGACAUAUACACCUGCUUCAGUACUCUAUUAGUAUUCCGAUUUUUUUAUUCUAUUCUAUUUUUAUUUCUGUUGUAUAUUAUUCCAAGGCUACUGUGAUGUGAAUGUUUCUGAAAACAAAAAUACACUCAUAUUGGA